rnacentral:rRNA from 1 species
AGUCGUACGGUAACAGGCAAGCAGCUUGCUUCUUUGCUGACGAGUGGCGGACGGGUGAGUAAUGUCUGGGAAACUGCCUGAUGGAGGGGGAUAACUACUGGAAACGGUAGCUAAUACCGCAUAACGUCGCAAGACCAAAGAGGGGGACCUUCGGGCCUCUUGCCAUCGGAUGUGCCCAGAUGGGAUUAGCUAGUAGGUGGGGUAACGGCUCACCUAGGCGACGAUCCCUAGCUGGUCUGAGAGGAUGACCAGCCACACUGGAACUGAGACACGGUCCAGACUCCUACGGGAGGCAGCAGUGGGGAAUAUUGCACAAUGGGCGCAAGCCUGAUGCAGCCAUGCCGCGUGUAUGAAGAAGGCCUUCGGGUUGUAAAGUACUUUCAGCGGGGAGGAAGGGAGUAAAGUUAAUACCUUUGCUCAUUGACGUUACCCGCAGAAGAAGCACCGGCUAACUCCGUGCCAGCAGCCGCGGUAAUACGGAGGGUGCAAGCGUUAAUCGGAAUUACUGGGCGUAAAGCGCACGCAGGCGGUUUGUUAAGUCAGAUGUGAAAUCCCCGGGCUCAACCUGGGAACUGCAUCUGAUACUGGCAAGCUUGAGUCUCGUAGAGGGGGGUAGAAUUCCAGGUGUAGCGGUGAAAUGCGUAGAGAUCUGGAGGAAUACCGGUGGCGAAGGCGGCCCGCUGGACGAAGACUGACGCUCAUGUGCGAAAGCGUGGGGAGCAAAACAGGAUUAGAUACCCUGGUAGUCCACGCGGUAAACGAUGUCGACUUGGAGGUUGUGCCCUUGAGGCGUGGCUUCCGGAGCUAACGCGUUAAGUCGACCGCCUGGGGAGUACGGCCGCAAGGUUAAAACUCAAAUGAAUUGACGGGGGCCCGCACAAGCGGUGGAGCAUGUGGUUUAAUUCGAUGCAACGCGAAGAACCUUACCUGGUCUUGACAUCCACGGAAGUUUUCAGAGAUGAGAAUGUGCCUUCGGGAACCGUGAGACAGGUGCUGCAUGGCUGUCGUCAGCUCGUGUUGUGAAAUGUUGGGUUAAGUCCCGCAACGAGCGCAACCCUUAUCCUUUGUUGCCAGCGGUCCGGCCGGGAACUCAAAGGAGACUGCCAGUGAUAAACUGGAGGAAGGUGGGGAUGACGUCAAGUCAUCAUGGCCCUUACGACCAGGGCUACACACGUGCUACAAUGGCGCAUACAAAGAGAAGCGACCUCGCGAGAGCAAGCGGACCUCAUAAAGUGCGUCGUAGUCCGGAUUGGAGUCUGCAACUCGACUCCAUGAAGUCGGAAUCGCUAGUAAUCGUGGAUCAGAAUGCCACGGUGAAUACGUUCCCGGGCCUUGUACACACCGCCCGUCACACCAUGGGAGUGGGUUGCAAAAGAAGUAGGUAGC